UAUUCAUGGGUUCCAACAAAGGACAUGGAUCGGGCUGCAGUGGGUUCUGCUACAAGCUCUGGAAGUGCACUAGUUGGCAGUCCAAGCUCUGCCCGAGGUUUUCGGGUCUUCUUCUUACCUUUUUGCGGGAAGAUUCGAGGAAUAAAGCAUGCAGGCUGGAUGCAUACAGAUGAAGGCUCAAUACAGGCAGGCUGAACACAAAAUGCACCAC
rnacentral:misc_RNA from 1 species